AAAUAUUCAAUAGCUCAUGGGUGACCUUUCACUUCCCUCAUUGGCAGCUGGUUAUAAAGCAGGAUCUAGAGAAGAUGACCCAGGAGACUAAAGGAUAAAA